rfam:Algibacter lectus DNA, contig: contig00011, strain: JCM 19300.
AUUAAGCCGUUAACUGCGUUAAGGAUUGAUGCGGCAUCCUUUUUGUUUUUAUUUGAAAUGCAAAGCAAUUUUAAGUAAAAAUAAAAAGAUACAGCGGAAAGCCUGGCGGCAA